GCCGGACGUGGUGGCGCAUGCCUGUAAUCCCAGCUGCCCCGGAGGCUGAGGCAGGAGGAUUUCGAGUUCAAAGCCAGCCUCAG
rnacentral:sRNA from 1 species